ensembl:lncRNA
CCCUGGUUCACAGGUGUUAUAUGAAAGCUCAGGACUCAGAGUGAAGCUCUGUCUCCUUGUUUGCUUCUCUUUGCUUGUGUGUCUUCUACUGUUUUGUAUCUCACUCCACUCUCCAGAUCCUGCAGCUGCAACUCACAAUUCCAGGCAAGUUUCCCUAAUCAGGAUGCAGUGUUGGCUGACCAUAUGCUUUGAAACCCGAGCUAUAUUUCACCCAGACCUCUGAAGUAGCUGAGCAGCCACUCAACCUGGAGGACAGCAGCUGGCAGUGAGAGGCGGGCAGAGACGUGACCCAGAAGAGCAUCUGCUGAGAAGAGGACCAAAGAUCACAGAAAAUCAACAAUGUCCGUGAGGUGACCGCGAGCCGAGACUUUGAAACCACAGCUGGGAACGCUGAGGUAAAACUUAUCAAAUGAAAAGGACAGCAAAAAUAACCAUCAGCGGGGUUUGCUUCCUUCCCUCCUACAUCUCCUUGUGCAACCCUGCACACACAGCUUUGCCUGAAAGCUUCUGACCCUAAAAUCAGGCUUUAUAUCACAUGCUUUGAAUAAAACGAUCUGUGACAGGCAAAGGGAGCACCGGGCUAAUCCCGAAAGUAUCUAGUUCGUGUCAUGCUUUCCUGGAAUUGUGUAGCAACCCAAUGUUGCAGGCUGGGGCUCCCUGAGCUGCAUCAUGGUCCACGGGACACAGCCAGCUGACGGUGUUUUUUCUAGAUCCAUCUCUCACUUGCAGACCAGUUACGUUGCGCAGUCCCAAAUGCUCACAUUGUGCAAUCCAGGAAUCUGGGAAAUACAUCAUGCAAGAAGGUUGCAGGAGUGGGAUGAGAUAAGACACGGAGAGAAAGGCAGGGAGAAGAGGCAGCCCCAGCAUAAAGCCACCAGGAGAGCAGGGCAAUGUGAGAGUGAGGCCGCCAUGUGAUUUAGCUCCAUUUUGGAAAGCAUCCUCGUGUGCAUGGCCCAUCCCCGGCCAGGUGUCCAACCUCAGAGUCGGAGCACAAAACAAGAGCACACAGAAGCUUUGGGGCUGGGGUGAGGUGCACAGCACGCUACAUUUUCUGUCCCGGACAGAUAAUAACUGCAGGGUUAUUUGUGGAGCGGGGCUUCAGCUGGGGCUGGAUGCAGAUCGGGGUUCAGUCUCCUGGCAGUGGGUUUGGGAGGGGCCCCCCAGGAGUAAAGGAGACAAAGGUGGCAUCUAAGGAGGCAAUGAGUGCAGGGCUGGCCAGUCCUAGCCAACAUGGUGCUGGUCCAAAGGAGGGCAGGGAACUGUGCCUGUGACCAUAGAGCUCCGGAGUAAUCCCAGGAGGGAGGAGUCUUACUGUUUUGGCACUGGAUUGUGCUUGGGAAUACUCAGUGCAGUUCCCAAUGGAUUCUUCUCUGGUCUGGUGAUCCUUCAGCCCCACAUCCCAAAAUGUCCCUGAAACAAGGAGUCCUGGGAAGGAGUCUCCCGUAAGCACCCCACAGCCACCAAGGUUCAGCCUUUCACCUCAACUUGCCCCCAACCCAGGCAGCUGAGAUCUUCCUCCCGUGGCUCAUAAACACAGAGAGACCCUUCUGCACAGCUGAGCUGUUUAAUACUUCAAUUGGCAGUUUUCAACCUGCAGCCCCUGAAAUCCUGAGGGCAGGAGGUAAAUAACCCACAGAUGAGAAGCUCAUUGUCAGGACUUUAAAUUUCCCACAGGGGGAAUCCCACAUCUGCUGGGGAAAAUAUCUGUGCCCAUAAACAUAAAGCGGUCC